GGUUGAUUUGCCGUUAGGUGCUACAGAGGAUAGGGUUUGCGGUACAAUUGACAUUGAAAAGGCUCUCACAGAGGGUGUCAAGGCAUUUGAGCCUGGCCUUCUUGCUAAAGCUAAUAGAGGGAUUNNNNNNNAUGUGGAUGAAGUUAACCUUUUGGAUGACCACUUAGUGGAUGUUCUUUUGGAUUCUGCUGCCUCAGGAUGGAACACUGUGGAAAGAGAGGGUAUUUCAAUUUCACAUCCUGCACGGUUUAUUUUGAUUGGCUCUGGCAAUCCUGAAGAGGGGGAGCUCAGGCCACAGCUACUUGAUAGAUUUGGGC
rnacentral:misc_RNA from 1 species